rnacentral:rRNA from 1 species
UGGGGGAUAUUGCACAAUGGGCGAAAGCCUGAUGCAGCGACGCCGCGUGGGGGAUGAAGGCCUUCGGGUUGUAAACUUCUUUUGCUCUGAACAAGGCAUGCCUUUGGGGUGUGUUGAGUGUAGGGGUUGAUUAGCGCCGGCUAACUACGUGCCAGCAGCCGCGGUAAUACGUAGGGCGCGAGCGUUGUCCGGAAUUAUUGGGCGUAAAGGGCUUGUAGGUGGCUGGUUGCGUCUGUCGUGAAAGCUCAUGGCUUAACUGUGGGUUUGCGGUGGGUACGGGCUGGCUUGAGUGCAGUAGGGGAGGCUGGAAGUCCGGGUGUAGCGGUGGAAUGCGCAGAUAUCAGGAGGAAUACCGGUGGCGAAGGCGGGUCUCUGGGCUGUUACUGACGCUGAGGAGCGAAAGCGUGGGGAGCGAACAGG